GCUUGUGUGUUGGGUCGUCGUCCCCCCCCGGGGACGGGCCCGAAAGGCAGCGGCGGCACCGCGUCCGGUCCUCGAGCGUAUGGGGCUUUGUCACCCGCUCUUGUAGGCCCGGCCGGCGCUGGCCGACGCUGAAAAGCAACCAACUAUUUCUCCAGGUGAC
rnacentral:rRNA from 1 species